UACAUAACUUGCAUAUAUCUUUGAUUAACUUACAAGCUGUUGCCUAAGCAGUUUAGUCAAAAAAAAAGUUAUAAAAGGUAAGAGGGGCUCUCCGAAACAAUCAUCGUAGCCAUUAAAAUAAUAGAAGCUCUUAUAAGGAUCAUUCUGGGACUUUGGAUCAUAUUUUGGAAGAUGUAAUUAUUCUUGGCCAUCCAAAUAUUAUAUACAAAAUAAGCCAUUAGAACUACCGCCAUACUCUGGUCAAUCCUACCAAAUUUUUGUGGAAUAGAUUGGAAGAAACUUCAAUAGAAAGAGUAGGAAUGAUCCUAGCA
rnacentral:lncRNA from 1 species